rnacentral:rRNA from 1 species
UACAGAGGUCUCAAGCGUUGUUCGGAUUCAUUGGGCGUAAAGGGUGCGUAGGCGGCGCGGUAAGUCGGGUGUGAAAUCUCGGAGCUUAACUCCGAAACUGCAUUCGAUACUGCCGUGCUUUGAGGACUGGAGAGGAGACUGGAAUUUACGGUGUAGCGGUGAAAAUGCGUAGAUAUCGUAAGGAAGACCAGUGGCGAAGGCGGGUCUCUGGACAGUUUCCUGACGCUCAGGUGCGAAAGCCAGGGGGAGCGAAACGGGG